AUCAAUCUUGCACCAACUCCUAUAAUAGUAAAUGAAUGUGAAUCAAUAGUACACACAUGUGAACAAAUAGUUAUAAUCAUGUGAAUCAAUAGCAAUUAAUUGCUCAUUUAUCCGGUUAAUUACCCAAUUGGUCAAUAUAACCUCCAAACAUCAAUUAUUAUCGAAAUAAAUGUCGAUUUCCACUAACACUAAUAAUUCCCACACAAUGAAAC
rnacentral:lncRNA from 1 species